UUUUUUCUUUUCAGGUGAAAUGAGCGUAGUCUUGCGAGAUUACAUUCCCAAUUCCGAAUCUAAAACCACGGGGGGUUGUUACUUUCCUGCAGAAUAUCAGGGCGAAUUCGUGAUGCAGGUGAGCGGAAUGGGCGCCGGAGGUAUAAUGUACGAGCCCAUUCAGUAUUCCACCAUUAACAUCACCUUUAACUCGAUACCGGUGUGGGGCUACUGCCACGAGAGGAAAGGCGAUAACGUGCUGCUAAUGGACAGAUACGGCGAGAAAGACUGCGUACGGUGUAUCCGGCUGCAGCAGAGGUCGCGAAACGUUAUCGAGGUGUUCUCUCAAGCUCUCAACCAGUGUUACACACGCACGAAGCUCGCCUCGGAAUCCUGCGCCAAACUGGACACCGCCUCGAUCUUAUAUCGAGCGAAAGAAAUCGGCGGUUUGGCGAUCCGUAACGAGUAUUGUCCCAUUAGAGGUCAAUAUCACUUCAAAUACACAAUCAACAAUGACUCUUCGUUCGAGUGCAACUCAUUCGCUUCCGAAAUUAACAAUUGCCUGGAUGGUUCGGUCUUACACUGGAAUUUCAAACGAUGCAAUUUUCGUGCACACAAUCUCACGUACAAUUGUUUGGGCAGCUGGCCCGGACCGAAUGGUUCUAAUUACUUAGCUCUUUGGGACCCAGACGCCGUUGAUGGCAGGCCUCAAUACAGAUGCGGGCUAUACCACGUUGAUAACGCACAAGGGAAAACUUAUAUGGCAUUCAGCAGUGAUUCGAGCUGCACGCAGGACUUGAAUAAUUCGUCUAGCGGUUACGAAACUUUGAUUCUGAGCAAGAGAUUAAAUGAAAAGAAGGUGCCAGAUUAUGUACAGAAACAUGUUGCCACAUUCCCGAAAUGGGCGCAAGGAGUAUGGGAGGAGUCGUUUAUAGAUAAUGGAACUAUGACUUUCACCGAUGUCAAUGGCUACAACAGUUACACCUUUAUUACGGUGCAUUCAAACGAGGUGCUUGGUCGUUAUUCCGCAUAUUCUACAGAACAAUGCGAGCAAUCUACUUUUAUGUGUUUAAUAAUGCAUCAACGAAGUGAAAAUGUAAUGGAAUUCACGAUAGCUCAUACAGAUGCACCCAUUUUUGGGCCUUUGAAUUUAGACUUCCCUAUAUGCAACGAUCUGAUUAUGAAUGAUCUCGUGUGGAUGACUCAAGCACGUAUAGAACGAGUGGAGUCACCUUGCCCAAUUACGGGUCAGUAUCACGGAGAGAUACCAGAUCUGUUGGGAAUGUGUGCCGAAAUAAGCAGCAACUGCAAUACUCGUGAGAUGAUGUAUUUUAGAGUCAUUGACUGCGAGUCCGGAGAAUUGUUUGAAGAACGAACAUAUCUGUGCUUGGGGCAAUGGGAGGAGAAGGGUAAGGUGAAGGGUGAGGAUAAGAAUGUGACAUAUACUUACACCAUGAGAAAUGACACUAAUACAAAGUACAAACACGAGUGCUUUGUGGGUUUCAUGGUCGAUGACGAUGAAAUAUAUAUAAAGGAAGCUGGCGAUCACUGCGUACGAAAUAUAGAUCCUAUAAAGCAGGGCAUGCGUCUCUCCAAAAAAAGGACAUUGCUACGGAAAUUUACCGAGUCCUGCGCCAACUUUUAAACCCAUAAAAACAAAUCCUCAUGAUCCAACACUCAGGAUUACGACAACUCCAUGGUCGAAAAUAUCAGGAGCUACUCAAAUGCCAGGAAAUACAGUUUCUUCGUCAAUUCCUUGCAGAUCGAGUACAUAUACGAAUUUAACGCUUCUCGUUACUGUACU
rnacentral:misc_RNA from 1 species